UACGUAGGAGGCGAGCGUUGUCCGGAUUUACUGGGCGUAAAGGGCGCGCAGGCGGCAUACUAAGUACAACGUGAAAGUUCCCUGCUCAACGGGGAGAGCGCGUAGUAAACUAGUAAGCUAGAGGACGGUAGAGGGGGGUAGAAUUGCUGGUGUAGCGGUGAAAUGCGUAGAGAUCAGCAGGAAUACCCGUGGCGAAGGCGGCCCCCUGGGCCGAACCUGACGCUGAGGCGCGAAGGCUAGGGGAGCGAACGGG
rnacentral:rRNA from 1 species